rnacentral:rRNA from 1 species
UCGCGCGAUCCCCUUGAGUUUGAUCAUGGCUCAGAAUGAACGUUGGCGACGUGGAUUAGGCAUGCAAGUCGGACGGGGCCUUCGGGUCCCCGUGGCGCAAGGGUGAGUAAGGCGACGAUAACCCACCCCGGGGCUGGCCAUAGCCGAGGGAAACCUCGGGUAAUUGCCAGCGACGCCGCGGGCCGGCAUCGGCCCGCGGCCAAAGGUGCGAUUCCGCCCCGGGACGGGCCGUCGUGGUAUCAGGUCGUUGGCGGGGUAGCGGCCCACCAAGCCAUUGACGCCUACCGGGCGUGCGAGCGUGGCCCGGCACACUGGGACUGAGACACUGCCCAGACUCCUACGGGAGGCUGCAGUCGAGAAUCUUCGGCAAUGGGCGCAAGCCCGACCGAGCGACGUCGCGUGGAGGACGAAGGCCUUCGGGUUGUAAACUCCUGUCGGGGGGGAACAAGGGCCGGCGCAGAGCCGGCCUUGAGUGAUCCCCGGAGGAAGCACGGGCUAAGUUCGUGCCAGCAGCCGCGGUAAGACGAACCGUGCGAACGUUAUUCGGAUUCACUGGGCUUAAAGCGCGUGUAGGCGGGCCGGUGCGUCGGUCGCUGAAAGCCCCCGGCUCAACCGGGGAAGCGGCGCCGAGACGACCGGCCUGGAGGGGGGUAGGGGGACCUGGAACUUCCGGUGGAACGGUGAAAUGCNUUGAGAUCUAAAGGACGCCCGUGGCGAAACGAGGUCCUGGACCCUUCUGACGCUGAACGCUAAGCCAGGGAGCGACU